CGGUGGCACAAAGGAUCAGUCUAUCUGGCUCUUAACCAGAAGGUUGGUGGUUUGAGCCCACUCAGGGUGG